GACGAACGCUGGCGGCGUGCUUAACACAUGCAAGUCGAGCGGUAAGGCCCUUUCGGGGGUACACGAGCGGCGAACGGGUGAGUAACACGUGGGUGACCUGCCCUCAGCUCUGGGAUAAGCCUGGGAAACUGGGUCUAAUACCGGAUAUGACUCCAUGACGCAUGUUGUGGGGUGGAAAGCCUUGUGCGGCUGAGGAUGGGCCCGCGGCCUAUCAGCUUGUUGGUGGGGGAUGGCCUACCAAGGCGACGACGGGUAGCCGGCCUGAGAGGGCGACCGGGCCACACUGGGACUGAGACACGGCCCAGACUCCUACGGGAGGCAGCAGUGGGGAAUCUUGCGCAAUGGGCGAAAGCCUGACGCAGCGACGCCGCGUGAGGGAUGACGGCC
rnacentral:rRNA from 1 species